rnacentral:rRNA from 1 species
GAUGAACGCUGGCGGUAUGCCUAACACAUGCAAGUCGUACGAGAGUUUUUAACUCUAGUGGCGGACGGGUGAGUAACACGUGAGAAUUUGCCUUUAGGAGGGGAUAACAAUUGGAAACGAAUGCUAAUACCCCAUAUGCUUUUGAGUGAAAUGGAUUUUAUCCGCCUAGAGAGAAGCUCGCGGCUGAUUAGCUUGUUGGUAAGGUAAGAGCUUACCAAGGCGACGAUCAGUAUCUGGUUUGAGAGGACGAUCAGACACACUGGAACUGAGACACGGUCCAGACUCCUACGGGAGGCAGCAGUGGGGAAUUUUCCGCAAUGGGCGAAAGCCUGACGGAGCAAUACCGCGUGAGGGAAGACUGCCUAUGGGUUGUAAACCUCUUUUUUCAGGGAGGAAUAAAUGACGUGUACCUGAAGAAUAAGCAUCGGCUAACUCCGUG